AAUAUUCGACAAUGGAGGCAACUCUGAACCAGCCACGCCGCGUGAAUGAUGACGGCCCUAUGGGUUGUAAACUUCUUUUGUAUGGGAAUAAACCUUUCUACGUGUAGGAAGCUGAAGGUACCAUUCGAAUAAGCAUCGGCUAACUCCGUGCCAGCAGCCGCGGUAAUACGGAGGAUCCAAGCGUUACCCGGAUUUAUUGGGUUUAAAGGGUGCGUAGGCGGCCCGUUAAGUCAGGGGUGAAAGACGGCAGCUCAUCUGUCGCAGUGCCUUUGAUACUGACGGGCAUGAAUGCGGAUGAGGUAGGCGGAAUGAGACAAGUAGCGGUGAAAUGCAUAGAUAUGUCUCAGAACUCCGAUUGCGAAGGCAGCUUACUAAGCCGUGAUUGACGCUGAUGCACGAAAGCGUGAGGAUCAAACA
rnacentral:rRNA from 1 species